AGCAGCGUGGCUCGGUGGAAAGAGCCCGGGCUUGGGAGUCAGAGGUCGUGGGUUCGAAUCCCACCUCUGCCA
rnacentral:tRNA from 1 species